rnacentral:rRNA from 1 species
GAGUAACACGUAGGCAACCUGCCUGUAAGACUGGGAUAACUCGCGGAAACGCGAGCUAAUACCGGAUAAUACUUAUUAUCUCCUGAUGGUAAGUUGAAAGGCGGCUUUUGCUGUCACUUACAGAUGGGCCUGCGGCGCAUUAGCUAGUUGGUGGGGUAACGGCUCACCAAGGCGACGAUGCGUAGCCGACCUGAGAGGGUGAUCGGCCACACUGGGACUGAGACACGGCCCAGACUCCUACGGGAGGCAGCAGUAGGGAAUCUUCCGCAAUGGACGAAAGUCUGACGGAGCAACGCCGCGUGAGUGAUGAAGGUUUUCGGAUCGUAAAACUCUGUUGUCGGGGAAGAACAAGUAUGAUAGUAACUGAUCGUACCUUGACGGUACCCGACCAGAAAGCCACGGCUAACUACGUGCCAGCAGCCGCGGUAAUACGUAGGUGGCAAGCGUUGUCCG